rnacentral:rRNA from 1 species
CACACGACCGUACCGCAAACCGACACUGGUGCGCGAGAUGAGUAUUCUCAGGCGCUUGAGAGAACUCGGGAGAAGGAACUCGGCAAAUUGACACCGUAACUUCGGAAGAAGGUGUGCCUUUAGUAGGUGAAGUCCCUCGCGGAUGGAGCCCAAUGAGGUUGCAAAGAAUCGGUGGCUGCGACUGUUUAAUAAAAACACAGCACUCUGCAAACACGAAAGUGGACGUAUAGGGUGUGACGCCUGCCCGGUGCUGGAAGAUUAAGUGAUGGGGUGCAAGCUCUUGAUCGAAGUCCCAGUAAACGGCGGCCGUAACUAUAACGGUCCUAAGGUAGCGAAAUUCCUUGUCGGGUAAGUUCCGACCUGCACGAAUGGCGUAACGAUGGCCACACUGUCUCCUCCCGAGACUCAGCGAAGUUGAAAUGUUUGUGAUGAUGCAAUCUCCCCGCGGAAAGACGGAAAGACCCCAUGAACCUUUACUGUAGCUUUGUAUUGGACUUUGAACGGAUCUGUGUAGGAUAGGUGGGAGGCUUUGAAGCCGGGUCGCUAGAUCUGGUGGAGCCAACGUUGAAAUACCACCCUGGUGCGUUUGAGGUUCUAACCUAGGCCCGUUAUCCGGGCCGGGGACAGUGCAUGGUAGGCAGUUUGACUGGGGCGGUCUCCUCCCAAAGCGUAACGGAGGAGUUCGAAGGUACGCUAGUUACGGUCGGACAUCGUGACGAUAGUGCAAUGGCAUAAGCGUGCUUAACUGCGAGACUGACAAGUCGAGCAGAUGCGAAAGCAGGACAUAGUGAUCCGGUGGUUCUGUAUGGAAGGGCCAUCGCUCAACGGAUAGAAGGUACUCUGGGGAUAACAGGCUGAUACCGCCCAAGAGUUCAUAUCGACGGCGGUGUUUGUCACCUCGAUGUCGGCUCAUCUCAUCCUGGGGCUGUAGCCGGUCCCAAGGGUAUGGCUGUUCGCCAUUUAAAGAGGUACGUGAGCUGGGUUUAAAACGUCGUGAGACAGUUUGGUCCCUAUCUUCCGUGGGCGCUGCAGAUUUGAGGAAGCCUGCUCCUAGUACGAGAGGACCGGAGUGGACGCACCUCUGGUGUACCUGUUGUCACGCCAGUGGCAUUGCAGGGUAGCUAAGUGCGGAAGAGAUAACCGCUGAAAGCAUCUAAGCGGGAAACUCGUUUCAAGAUGAGAUCUGCCGGGGCCUUGAGCCCCCUGAAGAGUCGUUCUAGACCAGGACGUUGAUAGGUCAGGUGUGGAAGCGCAGUAAUGCGUUAAGCUAACUGAUACUAAUUGCUCGUGCGGCUUGACC